CCCCUAUUUUAUCUAAUAAUUAUGCUAUUUUUGCAGGUACAAGGUGUUUAACUCUGCAAGUGGUGUAGUUUCCAUCAAUGGUAUUAGCACUUAUGUGCUCACUCUGAUGAAACAGUUUCGUUUGCACUAAUUAUUCAUCCAUACAUGCCUCAAGGAAUACAAAAAUACUACUGAAACAGCAUAGCAAUUUCACCAGAUACUACUUUGAAUUACAUCUGCUAAACAGUGGUUUCAAGGAACCUAAGAAACAAACAUACUGCAGUGCACUACCAGCAUUCAACCUUCAUGGAGCCUUUCA
rnacentral:lncRNA from 1 species